rnacentral:rRNA from 1 species
UACGGGGGGAGCAAGCGUUGUUCGGAUUUACUGGGCGUAAAGGGCGCGUAGGCGGCCACCGCAAGUCGGUUGUGAAAUCUCCGGGCUUAACCCGGAAAGGUCAACCGAUACUGCGGGGCUAGAGUGCAGAAGGGGCAACUGGAAUUCUCGGUGUAGCGGUGAAAUGCGUAGAUAUCGUAAGGAAGACCAGUGGCGAAGGCGGAUCUCUGGACAGUUACUGACACUGAGGCACGAAGGCCAGGGGAGCAAACGGG